rnacentral:rRNA from 1 species
AUGGAUCUUGCCAUAUCUGCUAUCACAGGCGAUCUGGCUAAUCGAAUCAUCUCUUUUCUGAUGAGCAAGUAUACGGAUCACGUAUGCUCGGAGGAGAAGGUGGAGAGGCUACAACAACUCUUGCUGAGAGCCGGCAUGGUCGUUGAGGAGGCGGACUCACGAUACAUCACCAACUCCUGCAUGCUCAUACAGCUGAAGGCCCUGGCGGCAGCCAUGUACCAAGGCCACCAUGUGCUUGACACCAUCAAAUACAGGAAACACAAGGAAUUGGUAUGUGACUCGUCCGAUCUAUCUGUUUCCACUCCUAACAAGCGUACUCGCACAAUCGUCGGUAGUGCAGCCCAAAGGGUUUUCAACUCAGAGCUAAUAAGAGAUCUGCAAAACCUAGAGGCUGGUGUUGCUAACAUGGCAGAGUUUGUCGUCCUUUUGGGCGGAUGCGAGCGCAUCUCCCAUAGACCCUAUGAUGCAUAUCUUUACGUCGACAACUUCAUGUUUGGUCGCCAUGUCGAGAAGCAGCAGAUCAUCAGGUUCUUGCUGCACCACAACACCCCAGGUUCUCCGGCCGUGCUUCCAAUCAUUGGUGAUGCUGGAGUUGGGAAGAAAACUCUUGUCGCCCAUGUAUGCGAUGUUGAUAGAGUGUGUUCUCACUUUUCUAUGAUUUUGCACCUGAAUGGAGAUGAUCUUUCCAAAAUGACAGACCAUGAAAGACUGUCAGGGAGGAUAUUAGUAGUUGUUGAGUUUGUUUCAGAUGUAGAUGAAGAUGACUGGAUAACAUUCUACCAUUUAAUUAUGAAGAUGGACAGAGGAAGUAAAGUGAUAAUCUUGGGUCGAAGCACAUGCUUGGAGAAGUUUGGAACCAUCAAGCCUGUUUCUCUGAACUCCCUGGCAUUCGAUGAAUACAUGUACCUGUUCAAGACACUCGCAUUCGGAAGUACGAACCCGGCAGACUACCCGCGGCUAGCAGCAAUGGUGGAAGAGUUCGCCAUGGUGUUGGGAGGGUCACUCAUCUCAGCGAAUGUGCUCGCAGAUGCACUGCGGAAAAACUUGAGUGCUCAUUUCUGGCUGUGCAGGUUGAAGGGUGCCAGAGACUCUGUCAACAUGAACAUCUCUUGUUUUGGUGCCCACCCGCAGGUGCUUCUUAGUCGAGGCCAACCGGUACACCUAAUCAACCGAGGUCACUCAGUGCACCUAAUCGGCCGCUACAUUUUAUCUCCUGCUGCUCCAUCAGGCAUUGUAAACUCUGCUAUUGGUAUGGCUAAUGUUCCAGAGGAGCGGGGUAUUGGUCUACCUAGGAUUAUGUUUGGGGACUUAAUAUCAGCAGCAGGUCACCUUGUCUUACCCAAAGGAGAUUUUAGGCUAAUUUCAUGGGAAUCAAGGCUGCCGCCUUACACUUCAUUUUCUCACUUGGGGCACGCUGUGCCGAGUUGCGUCCAUGACAAGCCGGAAACAUCCUUGUCAGGGAAGAAGCGUCCAGGUUUAUUUGCCUAA